rnacentral:misc_RNA from 1 species
UCUCCGUAGGUGAACCUGCGGAGGGAUCAUUACAGAGUUCAUGCCCUACCGGGUAGAUCUCCCACCCUAUGUUAUUAUUACUUUGUUGCUUUGGCGGGCCGUUAGGCUCCGGCCCGACUACCGGCCCCGGCUGGUAAGCGCCCGCCGGUGGACCCAAAACCCUGAAUAUUAGUGUCGUCUGAGUACUAUAUAAUAGUUAAAACUUUCAACAACGGAUCUCUUGGUUCUG